GUGUGCUUAAACUACAAAGAGAGAGAGAGUAAAAAGACAGGAAGUCAUUGCCGGCCUCGUCCCCAAGAUGACGAGCUAAAACCGUCACCAUCUUCCCCCCUCUGCAGCCGAGUCAAAUACAAGCCAGGAUGAUUACUGAAGAUUUCCGGCUCAUGCUAGUCAUCAUAAACUGAUUCAGGCAGCGUUGCCACGUGGAGCAAAUUUACAGCUUCUUCCCAGCACACGCAUUAGCCCAUUUGUCUCUGUUCCAGUUACCUGCCUGCCGUCAUCUUCUGUGGAGACGUUGCAUCCCAUCAGAUGUUUGGAUGUGUCACAUUGUGUUCAUCGUUAACAGCCAGGAAGGAAAAGAACCCGAGUGGAAAGAAAACAAACCUGAAGGCAAACUCUUUAUGCCUUGCUGCCCACUAUUUGAUUCCUCAAUAAACUCACAAUAAAAACAAUGAA